rnacentral:rRNA from 1 species
CGCCAGACUCCUACGGGAGGCAGUAGUGGGGAAUAUUGCACAAUGGGGGAAACCCUGAUGCAGCGACGCCGCGUGAGUGAAGAAGUAUUUCGGUAUGUAAAGCUCUAUCAGCAGGAAAGAAAAUGACGGUACCUGACUAAGAAGCCCCGGCUAACUACGUGCCAGCAGCCGCGGUAAUACGUAGGGGGCAAGCGUUAUCCGGAUUUACUGGGUGUAAAGGGAGCGUAGACGGUGAAGCAAGUCUGAAGUGAAAGGCGGGGGCUCGACCCCCGGACUGCUUUGGAAACUGUUUGACUGGAGUGCAGGAGAGGUAAGUGGAAUUCCUAGUGUAGCGGUGAAAUGCGUAGAUAUUAGGAGGAACACCAGUGGCGAAGGCGGUCAACUGGACAGCAACUGACGCUGAGGCGCGAAAGCGUGGGGAGCAAACAGGAUUAGAUACCCCGGUAUU